UCAAGCAGAAAGGGCACAGGGCGGAUGCCUUGGCACUAAGGGCCGAAGAAAGACGUGAUAAGCUGCGAUAAGCUUCGGGGAGGAGCAAAUAUCCAUUGAUCCGGAGAUGUCUGAAUGGGGAAACCCACAUGAGCAAACCUCAUGUAUCCAUACGCCAAUCCAUAACGUAUGGAAGGGAACCCGGGGAACUGAAACAUCUAAGUACCCGGAGGAAAAGAAAGAAAACUCGAUUCCGUAAGUAGCGGCGAGCGAACGCGGAGGAGCCUAAACCGGAAUGCGUGCAUUCCGGGGUUACGGACUGCAUUUAAGAUUCUUUGAAGCUAACAGAACGGUUUUGGGAAAGCCGGCCGGAGAGGGUGAAAGCCCCGUACGUGAAAGCUGAUGAGACUGAGCAGGAUCCAGAGUACCACGAGACACGUGGAACCUUGUGGGAAAUCAGGGGGACCACCCCCUAAGGCUAAAUACUACUUAGUGACCGAUAGCGCAUAGUACUGUGAAGGAAAGGUGAAAAGGACCCCGGGAGGGGAGUGAAAGAGAACCUGAAACCCUGUGUCUACAAGCUGUGGAAGCACUUUAUAUGUGCGACCGCGUACUUUUUGUAGAACGGUCCGGCGAGUUACGCUUACUGGCAAGGUUAAGCACUUCAGGUGUGGAGCCGUAGGGAAACCAAGUCUUAAGAGGGCCAGAGUCAGUAGGAGUAGACCCGAAACCGGGUGAUCUAUCCAUGUCCAGGUUGAAGCUGCCGUAAGAGGUAGUGGAGGACCGAACCCACAUCCGUUGAAAAGGGUGGGGAUGAGGUGUGGAUAGGGGAGAAAUUCCAAUCGAACCCGGAGAUAGCUGGUUCUCCUCGAAAUAGCUUUAGGGCUAGCCUCGAUACAGAUUUGCGGAGGUAGAGCACUGAAUUUCCUAGGGGGCGUCAAAGCCUACCGAAGAAUAUCAAACUCCGAAUGCCGCGUAAUCGAUUAUCGGGAGUCAGACUGCACGAGAUAAGUUGGGCGGUCAAAAGGGAAAGAGCCCAGACCUUCAGUUAAGGUCCCCAAGUGCGCGUUAAGUGGAAAAGGAUGUGGGAUUUCGAAGACAACCAGGAUGUUGGCUCAGAAGCAGCCAUCCAUUCAAAGAGUGCGUAAUAGCUCACUGGUCGAGAGGUCCUGCGCCGAAAAUGUCCGGGGCUGAAACGCGCCACCGAAACUAAGGAACCGAAAGGUUGGUAGAGGAGCAUUGCAUGCGGGAAGAAGCAGUACCGUAAGGAGCUGUGGACUGCAUGGAAGAGAGAAUGCCGGAAUGAGUAGCGAGAAUAAGGUGAGAAUCCUUAUGGCCGAAUAUCCAAGGUUUCCAGAGUAAAGCUGAUCUGCUCUGGGUAAGUCGGGGCCUAAGGCGAGGACGAGAGUCGUAGCCGAUGGACAACAGGUGGAGAUUCCUGUACUGCGGUAUGACAGAACUGUGGGGACACGUAAGGAAAGCGGAAGCCGGGAAUGGAAAGCCCGGUGCAAGCGGGGUACCAGUCACUUUGGCAAAUCCGGGUGGCAAUGGGAAGCCGUGAUGCGGAGCGAAAUAAAGUAGCGAAGUCCGUGAGCCAUGCGUCAAGAAAAGCCGCUAUUGUUUAUACCGUACCCGUACCGUAAACCGACACAGGUGGAUGAGGAGAGAAUCCUAAGGCCGGCGGAAGAAGCAUUGUCAAGGAACUCGGCAAAAUGACCCCGUAACUUCGGGAGAAGGGGUGCCUGGGAGAGCAGGCCGCAGAGAAUAGGCUCAAGCAACUGUUUAGCAAAAACACAGGUCUAUGCGAAACCGAAAGGUGAGGUAUAUGGGCUGACGCCUGCCCGGUGCUGGAAGGUUAAGAGGAGAGGUUAGCGCAAGCGAAGCUUUGAAUUUAAGCCCCAGUAAACGGCGGCCGUAACUAUAACGGUCCUAAGGUAGCGAAAUUCCUUGUCGGGUAAGUUCCGACCCGCACGAAAGGCGUAAUGAUUUGGGCACUGUCUCAACAAUGCACCCGGUGAAAUUGAAAUACCAGUGAAGAUGCUGGUUACCUGCGCCAGGACGGAAAGACCCCAUGGAGCUUUACUCCAGUCUGGUACUGGGACUCGGUAUUGCAUGUACAGGAUAGGUGGGAGGCUAGGAGAUGGUAACGCCAGUUGCCAUGGAGCCGCUGUUGGGAUACCACCCUUGCAGUAUUGGGUUUCUAACCAGCCGCCGUGACCCGGCGGUGGGACAAUGCCAGACGGGGAGUUUGACUGGGGCGGUCGCCUCCGAAAGGGUAUCGGAGGCGCCCAAAGGUUCCCUCAGAAUGGACGGAAACCAUUCGAAGAGUGCAAAGGCAGAAGGGAGCUUGACUGCGACACCGACGG
rnacentral:rRNA from 1 species